rnacentral:misc_RNA from 1 species
GAUGAAGAACGCAGCGAAAUGCGAUAAGUAAUGUGAAUUGCAGAAUUCAGUGAAUCAUCGAAUCUUUGAACGCACAUUGCGCCCGCUAGUAUUCUGGCGGGCAUGCCUGUCCGAGCGUCAUUUCAACCCUCAAGCCCCCGGGCUUGGUGUUGGGGAUCGGCGAGCCUCCGCGCCCGCCGUCCCCUAAAUCUAGUGGCGGUCUCGCUGUAGCUUCCUCUGCGUAGUAGCACACCUCGCACUGGGAAACAGCGCGGCCACGCCGUUAAACCCCCAACUUCUGAACGUUUGACCUCGGAUCAGGUAGGAAUACCCGCUGAGCUUAAGCAUAUCAAUAAGCGGAGGA